rnacentral:rRNA from 1 species
UAACACAUGCAAGUCGAGCGGAUGACGGGAGCUUGCUCCUUGAUUCAGCGGCGGACGGGUGAGUAAUGCCUAGGAAUCUGCCUGGUAGUGGGGGACAACGUUUCGAAAGGAACGCUAAUACCGCAUACGUCCUACGGGAGAAAGCAGGGGACCUUCGGGCCUUGCGCUAUCAGAUGAGCCUAGGUCGGAUUAGCUAGUUGGUGGGGUAAUGGCUCACCAAGGCGACGAUCCGUAACUGGUCUGAGAGGAUGAUCAGUCACACUGGAACUGAGACACGGUCCAGACUCCUACGGGAGGCAGCAGUGGGGAAUAUUGGACAAUGGGCGAAAGCCUGAUCCAGCCAUGCCGCGUGUGUGAAGAAGGUCUUCGGAUUGUAAAGCACUUUAAGUUGGGAGGAAGGGCAGUAAGCUAAUACCUUGCUGUUUUGACGUUACCGACAGAAUAAGCACCGGCUAACUCUGUG